AAAAUACUCCCUCCGUCCCAAAAUUCUUGUCUUAGAUUUGUCCAAAUACGGAUGUAUCAAGUCACGUUUUAGUAUUAGGUACAUCCGUAUCUAGACAAAUCUAAGACAAGAAUUUUGGGACGGAGGGAGUAAUUA
rnacentral:pre_miRNA from 1 species